CGCUUUUCUUCCCAAAGGACCAGCUCAUUUAAAUAGUUUCCCUGUGCUUUGGCUUUCCUCCCUGAGGAGGGGUAGGUGGAGCGGGGCACACUCCUUUCCCACGCCCGGUGGCUGUGGGUGUGUCUCCUCGAGGGAUGGGUGCUCAGCUCUGCGUUUCUCUCUUUGAGGAACAAAUUGCUGUUUUGGCCCCGGCGGCUCCUCUGGGCGCGGGCGGCAGCCGCACUCGCUGGCAAAUCGUGGAGGGAGGAGGAGCGGCACAGGCAGAGCGAAGCCGCGGGCACCGCCGCGGCGUGGAAGACGGACGGGAGACGACCUCUGCUCCCCACCCUUCGAGGGACCUGGGGCUCCUGCAGCCCCCCGGCAGCUUCCCGUCCAGCGCAGGGCCGAGUGGUCUGGGGGUCAAGCUGAGGCCUAGAAAGGCUGGACUGCCCGAGGCUGUGCUCAGAAGCCCCUCCCAUCUUUUAAAACCUUCCCUGUGCAGUUGGAGCCCUCUGGGGUCUCCUACCUCCCACUACCGCCUGCUACUGGGCUUUCACUGCCGCCUGGUCGCCAGUCCCCCUUUCCAUGACAUUUUUUCCUCGGGGAAAAUGGUUUGCAUCUUCUACAAACACCCCUUGCCUAGAGCCCUCCUCCUGUCCCUCUUGGGGGAGGCGAGGCUGCCAGGCAGCUCUCGGAGAGCCCCCAAGCUAUAGCGAAGAAGCCCGCCCCUGCGGCGGAGGCUGAGUCAGCCCGACCCUACCACGCCACGGCGUCGUUCUCCCAGAGGCGGGUGGCAGCCUGGGGCGGCCAGGGCUAUAGGGGGACAGCAACUGCCCCUGCCCCCAUUGAGGUCCCGAGGGAGGGGGGGGAUCCUUCGGCAAGAGGCCUGUCCCUUUAAGGAGGCGGCCCUGACUGGGUGUGCCCGGUCUCCAUGGUUACCCCAGUGCAGGCGGUGGCGCGGGAGGUAGGGAGGGAGGCUGCCGCUUCUCCCCGACAGACGGAGGGAGCUGCGGGGAUCCGGCUCCAAGCAGACCCCAAGCGGGAGCUGCCCCACAGUAGAAGCGGGAGCCGCUGCCGCCGCCCGAGCAGGCAAGAAGUGCCGAAAGCAUCGCGGCUUCGGAGCCUGGAACCAGGGAUUCGUGGGUGGCGAGGGCGCGAGGGGCCGCGCGCCAUGCUCCGGGCCCCGACGGCGCGGACGCCCGCUCUCGCACCGGCGGCUGGCGGGGCCUGCAAGCCCUGGCUGGGCAUUGCCUCCCCACGGCUGCGCUAGGGGGCGCGGGGCCCGGCGGGGGCGGCCGAAUCGGGCGCCCUCCCCCGGCGCUGAGUCCCCGCGCCCCGGAGGGAUGGGGCGGGCGGCCCCGGCCGCCUAAGAUGCCGGCCAUGCGGGGGCUCCUGGCGCCGCAGAACACCUUCCUGGACACCAUCGCCACGCGCUUCGACGGCACGCGUGAGUCAGGCCCUCCCCCCCCAACUCCCGGAGGAGAGGUCCCCGCCAGGGCUCCUGCCGGUCCUGAUCCCACACUUGGCACCCAUUGGUUCUCACCUUUCGCCCCUCAGAAGUUGGGACCAUCGUUUCUUUCCAGGCGCCGUUUCCCCAAAGGGUUCAUGGUCAGCCCUGCAACCCGCAAAGCAACAUGGCUUGAAGGAGAUGUCCCUGGGUGUGGGGCCCGGGAUGCUCCCUGUUCCUGGGGGCGCAAACCCAGACCUAGUCAGUCUGACCCACCGUAUCCUGGCAUCUGGCUCUGUUGCAAGGACUACCCUCGGACUGGCUGGUUUCAUUGAGACUGGGGAGCACGACUCCCAGUCAGCCUGGGAGGGCUCAAAAUACAGAUUUAGAAACGUUUGGAAACGGAGACAGUAGGUGGGACUCAAGAGAGUACCAGUACCAGUAUCCAAGCCCAUCUCACAGCCUAAACCCACCCACCUUGGUGAGCCCUCCAGAGCGAAAGAAGAUGAAUUUGGAGACUCUCACCAGGACUGGGGAAGUUUGGAGGCGCCUGAGUUUCUGGAUCCCAGGUUCCUAGGGCUCUGAUCACAAGGAAAUAGGAUAGCCAGAUCCCUCUCCCUCCUCUUUCUUCCUCCUCCCUCCCUGCACACUCACCCCCAGCUGGGCUUCCCAGCUCUCUGCUUAGCAUGCUCCCUGGUCUCCGGUUCUUGAGAAGGUGUGAGAGCCCAUCACUGAGCUCUCCCCACUCCAGGCUCCUCCAUCUGCUUUGCCAGGGUACUUGGCUAGGGCAGCCUGCUGGUUCAGCGCCCCCUCCCAAUACAUGCCUGACUUCAGGCUCUGGUUUUCAGCCACCAUUCUUGCACCCCCACUCUUGAUCCCAUUUACUAAGUCCUGAGCCAGGUCAGGCAGGUACUCAGAGGGCAAGAUUGGCAGUGACCUGGGUUGCCUCCUAAUCCAGGAGGGUUCCGGUGGGAGGAGCCUGGUUACCUGGCUGGUGGGUGAACCUGGCAGAAGUAGCAGUGGGGCUGUGGCCAGUCUAGAGCAAGUGAUGCAGUCCCUUGGACACCCUCAAGCUUACCCCUUACCCCAAACUGCUCAGAACAGACCCGAGGGCACCGUGCCUACACAGGGCUGCACUGACCUGUGUUUGUUCACAUGUCCUGAUUCUAGAAUGCACGCACACACGUGUGGCUAGCAGCAGCCCCUUUCAGGGCACUGACGCAGGCAGCACACUGAGUCCCAUUCAUAAAUAGCUCCCACCUGGAACAUACACAGGAUUCCUGGAGUUUGUAAAACCCAUCCUUCAGUUGCAAGGCAUUGGGCAAGCAGGGGUGUUAGAUACCCAUCCCUUCACCCCAUUCCUCCUCUGAAAGGUGCUCUCUUGCAGAUAGUAACUUUGUGCUGGGCAACGCCCAGGUGGCAGGGCUCUUCCCUGUGGUCUACUGCUCUGAUGGCUUCUGUGACCUCACGGGCUUCUCCCGGGCUGAGGUCAUGCAGCGGGGCUGUGCCUGCUCCUUCCUCUAUGGGCCAGACACCAGUGAGCUCGUCCGACAACAGAUCCGCAAGGCCCUGGACGGAGCACAAGGAGUUCAAGGCUGAACUGAUUCUGUACCGGAAGAGCGGGCUCCCGUUCUGGUGUCUCCUGGAUGUGAUACCCAUAAAGAAUGAGAAAGGGGAGGUGGCCCUCUUCCUGGUCUCUCACAAGGACAUCAGUGACACCAAGACUCGAGGGGUCCGACAACUGGAAGGAGAGAGGUGGGUGUGCCCAUGGGCAUUGAUUUGGUGGCUGUGGCUGGGUAUUGGGUACCUCAGGCCUGGGUAGGAUUUUGGUACCCAG
rnacentral:lncRNA from 1 species